CAACGAUGAAGAGUUUGAUCCUGGCUCAGGAUGAACGCUAGCGGCAGGCUUAACACAUGCAAGUCGAGGGGUAACAGGGAGUGCUUGCACUUUGCUGACGACCGGCGCACGGGUGCGUAACGCGUAUACAAUCUGCCUCUUGCUGAGGGAUAGCCCAGAGAAAUUUGGAUUAAUACCUCAUGGUAUCUAUUUAGAGCAUUUUAGAUAGAUUAAAGGUUACGGCAAGAGAUGAGUAUGCGUUCUAUUAGCUAGUAGGUAAGGUAACGGCUUACCUAGGCGACGAUAGAUAGGGGCCCUGAGAGGGGGAUCCCCCACACUGGUACUGAGACACGGACCAGACUCCUACGGGAGGCAGCAGUGAGGAAUAUUGGACAAUGGAGGCAACUCUGAUCCAGCCAUGCCGCGUGCAGGAAG
rnacentral:rRNA from 1 species